GACAAAAUCUUCUCAAUCACCACAAACUUGGAGCAUCAUUGCCAGAUUGCAUCACUGAGCAAAUAUGCAAUUGUGCUGUUGAAAUGGGUAAUUACUUGCAUAUUCUCCUUGCAACUUCUAAUCUUGUUAACCUUGCUGUGUUGGAAUCUGGCUUGAAAGUAAUUAUUGAAACUUGUUAUGGACCAACUAUUCUAAAAGCUUAAGCUGUUGAGUGAAUACACAUGAAUGAUUUUACAUUAUAUUUCUAACCAAAUGUACCUUGCUGUGCAGCCAACAACCUGGGUGUGGAUGCCAUCUUUGUAUACACAAAGCAUGGAUACAUGGCAUCUCUCCUAUCACGCAAUCGACCAAAUCCUCCAAUCUUUGCUUUCACCGAUGAUGACAACACAUGUAUGGCUCUGAAUUUG
rnacentral:lncRNA from 1 species